UGGGGAAUAUUGGACAAUGGGCGCAAGCCUGAUCCAGCCAUGCCGCGUGAGUGAUGAAGGCCCUAGGGUUGUAAAGCUCUUUCACCGGUGAAGAUAAUGACGGUAACCGGAGAAGAAGCCCCGGCUAACUUCGUGCCAGCAGCCGCGGUAAUACGAAGGGGGCUAGCGUUGUUCGGAUUUACUGGGCGUAAAGCGCACGUAGGCGGACUUUUAAGUCAGGGGUGAAAUCCCGGGGCUCAACCCCGGAACUGCCUUUGAUACUGGAAGUCUUGAGUAUGGUAGAGGUGAGUGGAAUUGCGAGUGUAGAGGUGAAAUUCGUAGAUAUUCGCAGGAACACCAGUGGCGAAGGCGGCUCACUGGACCAUUACUGACGCUGAGGUGCGAAAGCGUGGGGAGCAAACAGG
rnacentral:rRNA from 1 species